GCAGACGGCGGAGAGCAGAGAGGGAGCGCGCCUUGGCUCGCUGGCCUUGGCGGCGGCUCCUCAGGAGAGCUGGGGCGCCCACGAGAGGAUCCCUCACCCGGGUCUCUCCUCAGGGAUGACAUCAUCCGUCCACCUCCUUGUCUUCAAGGACCACCUCCUCUCCAUGCUGAGCUGCUGCCAAGGGGCCUGCUGCCCAUCUACACCUCACGAGGGCACUAGGAGCACGGUUUCCUGGAUCCCACCAACAUACAAAGCAGCCACUCACUGACCCCCAGGACCAGGAUGGCAAAGGAUGAAGAGGACCGGAACUGACCAGCCAGCUGUCCCUCUUACCUAAAGACUUAAACCAAUGCCCUAGUGAGGGGGCAUUGGGCAUUAAGCCCUGACCUUUGCUAUGCUCAUACUUUGACUCUAUGAGUACUUUCCUAUAAGUCUUUGCUUGUGUUCACCUGCUAGCAAACUGGAGUGUUUCCCUCCCCAAGGGGGUGUCAGUCUUUGUCGACUGACUCUGUCAUCACCCUUAUGAUGUCCUGAAUGGAAGGAUCCCUUUGGGAAAUUCUCAGGAGGGGGACCUGGGCCAAGGGCUUGGCCAGCAUCCUGCUGGCAACUCCAAGGCCCUGGGUGGGCUUCUGGAAUGAGCAUGCUACUGAAUCACCAAAGGCACGCCCGACCUCUCUGAAGAUCUUCCUAUCCUUUUCUGGGGGAAUGGGGUCGAUGAGAGCAACCUCCUAGGGUUGUUGUGAGAAUUAAAUGAGAUAAAAGAGGCCUCAGGCAGGAUCUGGCAUAGAGGAGGUGAUCAGCAAAUGUUUGUUGAAAAGGUUUGACAGGUCAGUCCCUUCCCACCCCUCUUGCUUGUCUUACUUGUCUUAUUUAUUCUCCAACAGCACUCCAGGCAGCCCUUGUCCACGGGCUCUCCUUGCAUCAGGUAGGGGCUUUGCAGAGACCAUCGACGGGCUGACUUGAGUAAGAACACGAAUUAUGCAUGUGGCCAUUUCCAGAGCACUUUCUAUGUGAUAUGAACAUGUGAUUUUUAUGUAAUAUGUGUAUGUAAACGAGGCAGCCUCAUUUCCAGGUGAGGAUGCAUUUGGUAGUGUUGAUUUUUGUAAUUUAAAGAAGCUGAAAGGGAGAGAGGACCCGUGAGGACUGAACUCUCUGUCCCAUGGGGUAGGGCUUACAUUUACAUUAAAGAAACAGAAACUUGCUGGGAGGUGUAAGUAUUUGGUCACAUUGCUGGCAACAGAAGGGGUUGGAGUUGGACCCAGGGUGCCACGCUAGCUGCCCUCACCCCUUCUUCCCCUCUGGCCCAGAGUUAUACUAAGAGUCCUUUUAUUUCAAACCAAAUGUUUGACAAUGGGACAGUCUGUUUGAAAUCCCAGCUGCCUGGGGUGGUCUUGGGGGUCUGGGUGGCCCCAGUGCUGGUACCAUGUGCUGGCUUCACCUUUUAAUAACAGUGUGACCUUAAACAAGUCGCUUAACUACUCUAAGUUUCAGUUUCUUUCAUGGUCUAAAUGGAGAUUAAAACACACACACACACACACACACACACACACACACACACACCCCCUCGUGUAUCUACCCCACAGGGCGCUUUUGAAGACCAAAUGCUGUAACUACUAUGAAAGUGCUUUGUAAAUUGCUGUGGAAAGUGUGAGCUACUCAAGCACCCGAGGCUGUCCCUCCUUGCUCACAUGUCCAGCCCAAUUCUCCCUUAGUGAGAACAGCACUCAGUAGGUGCUGUGUGUGUUUGUGUUCAAUUAAGAAAUUCCAGAAUAAAUAAAAAUGAAUUAAUUCAACAAACAUUUUCUGGGGCACCGACAAUCUGCCCAGUGCACCAGGCUAGGUAUCUGAUACAAAGAUAAUGAAAACAGUCUCUUGGAACCUAAUUGGGGUCCUCAUUUGACCAGGAAUUUCUUUCGUCCCGUUUUAAGCCAACCAGUUUUGUCCGGACAAGACAAAAACAACUUGGGCUGCUUUAGAGAAGCCCAGCUCAGUGUAGACAAUAGCUGCCCAGCCUCUGAAAGGGGCUGAUUGGAUUAUGUGGCAAAUGGAGGUGCAAGGAUGACUUGGACGGUGACAAAUGAAGUGGGCGGAGACCUGCUUUGAGUUAAUCCAGGCUAUUAGGAGGGGACCUUUUGUCUUCCAGAGACUGGCAGGAGCUUUUACCAGUGGUUUUUACAUCCUUAAUGUUCAGGACGAAUAAUUUAUGGUCAGUGAAAAUCCAGGCCCCAGUGAGAUUCGAGUGGGCUGUAAAAUCGAGAGUCCUGCUCCCAGUGAGUAAUGGUAGUGAAUGUUUCUGUCACUUUUUGCAACCGUCCAUUCAUUUGAUCCUCACAACUCCCUGUCCUGAGCCAGGACCGGCCACUGCCACUCCCAGGGAAACAGAGGCUGUCAAGAGGCUCCACAGAUUGGGCCCCACUGGAUCAUUGAACCCCUGUUCCCUGAGUUCUAGAGGAAGAAUUGUACCUGUCUCAGUCCCGGCCACCUCCAGAAGGCCUCCCUCUGCAUUUCUGACUUUGCUGUGCCGGCAGCCUGGAGCCUCCCAGGUCCCUGCUGUCAUCUUUUCUAGCCACUACAGUCUCUGUCUUUCCUUUCACAGCCAAGCUUCUUGAAAGGCCUGUCUACACUUGCUGUCUUCCUUCCUCACCUCCAAUUUCCUCUUCAACCCACUGCUUCCUGACUCGCUCUACUCCGUGGAAGCACGCUCACAAAGGUUCCCAGUGCCCCCGACAAGCCCCUGCUGGUGUCUCCAUCUCCUGCCAAGCAUCCUCCAGUGCCUCCUCCUGUGGGCCUGGCCUCAGGGCUAUGGACAGACUCCUGUCCCAUCCCAGAGACCCCUCGUGAUCGUGCCCUGGCACGUGGGCCGUGGCCCGGCUGGGUCGGCUGAAGAACUGCGGAUGGAAGCUGCGGAAGAGGCCCUGAUGGGGCCCACCAUCCCGGACCCAAGUCUUCUUCCUGGCGGGCCUCUCGUCUCCUUCCUGGUUUGGGCGGAAGCCAUCACCUGGAUGCCUACGUGGGAAGGGACCUCGAAUGUGGGACCCCAGCCCCUCUCCAGCUCGAAAUCGGCAGACUAGGAUGGAAGUGCCCUGUGAGCUGGGGGGCCCUUCAAAGGGCCAAGGAGAAAACGCAGGCCGAGGGACCAGCCUUCCAAAUGGGCUUCAAGCUCCAAUGACCUCCGCUCGCCCCCUCGAAAUGUCUGGAAAACAUAAUGGGCAGAUUUUCUGUCUUCAAAGUUUCCGGCUAAACCUCUUCAAGUUCUUUAUUGUUUGGGACUGAGACACUCAGCCAUGUUAAUGGGUAGUUUCUUUUGUAUUUGCCUUGAAAGGCCAAAAUAUUUUUAUAUUGCCACAGACAAAGCCACCUAUUUAAAAAUGAACUCCAUGUCCGUCGUUUCCCACCAGGAGACUAUGUACCAUGUGUGUGUCUCUAUGUAUUCUGGGGUCUUGAAACAGGUUUCUCAUGGGGAUGGUCAUUCACCACGGUCCAGAGGGGCAGAACAGGCGGCGCUUGCCUUGCCCAGGGGGCCUGGGGAACGUGGGCCCUCAUCUCAGAUCUGCCCCCAGUAUGUUUAGGACGCGAGCCCCAGAAGGAUCUGGGAGUAAACUUAACAUUCACUGUGUCUCUGCUCUGCAUCCGCCAUUUGUGUGUGUUUCUGGACUGUGGGCUGUGUGUACCUUGGUUGGUGACUCAGUGAGAAGAAGCAGGAAUGCCAAAGAUACUGUGAAUGUUCUGAGUUUUGUUGCUGUUGUUGUUGAGAGGUUGUUUCACUGGUAUCUAUUGCAUUGUAUAAUAAAUGACCAGAUGAAUGAAUGAGUGAAGCAAGAGAGAAUGAAUAAACAAGUAAAUAGGUAAAGAAGUAAGCAAGCCAGGAUGAGAGUGUGUGUACACAAGACCAUGGUUCAUCCGCUUUGAUGGCUAGGCAAUCAAUAUAUAAAUAGAAAAAAACCAGUGAAUCACUAAGUAAUAGGGCAACACACAAAGCGAUAUCAGGUGAUUAUGGACUAAGGGGUAUGUGUAACUCAAAUAUAUGCCUCUGACAUUUGACAAUGAAAAAGAACCUAAAUGAAAGAAAGAAUGGAUGUAUGAGUAGUGAAGUGCAGAAUGAGACAUAGAUUUUGAGGCCCGUCAAAAUGAAAAGAUGCAAGUUAGGGAACAAGUGAUCAAAAGGGAGAAGGGAAAGGUUUUUUUUAAAAAACCAAAACAACAAAGAAAGGUUAAAAAAAAAAACAGACUAGAGGAUGAGUAAUGAGUAACUCUGUAAGGAGGACCAUGUCAGACUAUUGUAAGCUAAGCAUUAGGACUGAUACAAAUAAUAUAUGCUCCUGGCAUAGAAAAAUAAACCACAGAGAACGAGUUCAAAGAAUAGCAAAGAAAGAAAGAGGACCCAGUGGGCGAAAGAUGAGAGUGUACUUUUACCAAAAGUUAUCUAAGCCUGAGCACUUGAAGUCUGCACAUAAAUAAAUAAAUGACAAAA
ensembl:lncRNA MEG3 maternally expressed 3